GGCGUGUCAAGCGUGUACCUUUUCACUUUGCGGGUAUCGUACAGGCCACCUCCAGAGUCGGAUGAAGAUUUGAGGUACGAUGAGCCGGUGUGGAGCUCAAGUUUGGAAACGGCCGCCUCCAAAGCGGACUACAGGGAAUGUACUGAUGUCCACACCGCCCACGUGUUCUUUUCUGUCGAGCACAGGUCCCCGAGGCGGCUUCGGAUCUCUGCUGUCACCGACGCUACUGAUUUUUUUUUCGAGGAUCAGCAGCUGGAAGAUGUGCUGAAGCAUCUCCAUCAGUAGAGCGUUUUGAGGAAGGGAUGCAGUCAGUGC